CAAACUGUGCUCCGCUGGUUUCCCAGGAUCCCCUGCUCUCACGUCUCGUCAGUUCAAGGAGGCAGACUUCCAGCAGGUGGUGGAUUUCUUCGAUCAGGGCAUCGAGAUCGCUCUGGACGUCAAGAAGAAGACCAAAAAGCUGUCAGAUUUCAAGAGUUUCCUGCUGGAGGACGUGGAGACGGCGUCUCGUAUCGCUGAUCUGCGUCGCCGCGUGGAGGCUUUCGCUCGUCCCUUCCCCAUGCCUGGAUUCACCGACCAUUAACACAGCAUUUCUUCUUUUCUUUUGCUUCAAGACCAGUCACUACAUUAUUAAUCAUUUCCUGGAUCGAAGUCUUAAAACGAGUGUCUUAAGUGACAUUAGAAGUGAGUUUCCCUUCCGCGGAUGAUUUAUUCCUCGUGUGUGUGAUCCUUUUAUAACAUUCAGGACUCGACUAACAUCUAUAUCUUCCAUCUCGAGUGAAGAACAAAUGUGUCUAACAGACUAAAGAUGCUAAAUGUUUCCAGACUGUGAUUUCCGUUCUGAGCCGUCUCUUCUCUGAUGAUCGCAGCUGUUUGUGAACGUACAGUAGUGUGUGUGAAGACUGCAGUUUGUUUUUGCUCGGCUCUCAUCUCGAGUGAUUGUGAACAAACUGAUAUUGAUAAACACUUUGAGCCUCUUCUUCACGUUGCACCUUCAUUCUGCCUGACAAAACACAGAAAUGUUUUUUUAAAUGGACGGAUCUUUACAAAUGAUUUUCUAAAAACGUCUAAUCCCAAUAAAAAUGUGGUGUAGGAAAAUGCA